GAGAGACAGAAAGAGGUCGAGAGAGACAGAAAGAGGUCGAGAGAGAGACAGAAAGAGGUCGAAAGUAAGACAGAAAGAGGACGAGAGUAAGACAGAAAGAGGUCGGGAGUAAGACAGAAAGGGGUCGAGAGUAAGACAGAAAGGGGUCGAGAGUAAGACAGAAAGGGGUAGAGUGAGACUGAGAAGGUAGAGAGUGAGACACGAGUGUCGCGGACCAUCCCCCCCAGCUGCUACUGGAGCCAGCGAUCAGAACGCGUGAGACAGGAGGACAGCCAGCAGUGGA